CCCCCAUCCCCACCUAGGGUUCCCCUUCUCCCUCCACAACCGCCGCCGCCGCCGCCGCCGCAAACCCUCGCGCACUCGCCCUCCAACCCACCGCCGCCGUCGACAUGGGUAAGGUGCACGGAUCGCUCGCCCGUGCCGGGAAGGUGCGCGGCCAGACGCCCAAGGUCGCGAAGCAGGACAAGAAGAAGCAGCCCCGCGGCCGCGCCCACAAGAGGAUCCAGUACAACCGCCGCUUCGUCACCGCCGUCGUCGGCUUCGGCAAGAAGCGCGGCCCCAACUCCUCCGAGAAGUAGGCGCGCCGCACCGCCGAGCCAAGAAAAAGGCUCUUCCUUUGCGCUAGUUUUCCUCUCGUUUGUUGUUACGCAAGAUUAUGAUGAUGGAAGAGACAUUACUGAAGUGUUAAAGUAUGCAUGUUUUGCUUAGUUGAAGAAUCUGAGAUAUUGUGGUAUGGGUUCAUGGCUUAAAUUUGCUUGUUGUUUGUCGUUGCCCAUGAUGUGCAACAUAUGCG
rnacentral:rRNA from 1 species